rnacentral:rRNA from 1 species
AAGUCGAACGCCCCGCAAGGGGAGUGGCAGACGGGUGAGUAACACGUGGGAACCUUCCUAGUGGUACGGAAUAGCUCCGGGAAACUGGAAUUAAUACCGUAUACGCCCUAAGGGGGAAAGAUUUAUCGCCAUUAGAUGGGCCCGCGUCUGAUUAGCUAGUUGGUGAGGUAAUGGCUCACCAAGGCGACGAUCAGUAGCUGGUCUUAGAGGAUGAUCAGCCACACUGGGACUGAGACACGGCCCAGACUCCUACGGGAGGCAGCAGUGGGGAAUAUUGGACAAUGGGCGCAAGCCUGAUCCAGCCAUGCCGCGUGAGUGAUGAAGGCCUUAGGGUUGUAAAGCUCUUUUAGCAGGGACGAUAAUGACGGUACCUGCAGAAUAAGCCCCGGCUAACUUCGUGCCAGCAGCCGCGGUAAUACGAAGGGGGCUAGCGUUGUUCGGAAUUACUGGGCGUAAAGCGCACGUAGGCGGAUUAGUAAGUCAGGGGUGAAAUCCCGGGGCUCAACCUCGGAACUGCCUUUGAUACUGCUGAUCUCGAGUCCGGAA